rnacentral:lncRNA from 1 species
UAACCAUCACACCUAUUAAUAACACUGGGUGCAUGUAUCAGGCAGCACCAUGUUAACUAAAGGCUUUGCUUUAAUCCCAUAAAGUCCUCACAGUAAUUCCAGGAGCAAACAUUAUUGUUCUUUUUUCACAGAUGAGGAAAAUAAAGCCCAGAGUGUUCCAGUGAUGGGCCUCGAUUCACUCAGCUUCAAGUCGGCCAGACUCCAAUGCGCAGGCUCAAUCAGGUUCAGACUUGGUAUUUGUCUUUCUGGAUCAUGCUGGGGUAUGAUUCUCAUUGCGGACAGAAUAACAACAAGAAGACCUUGAGAAUAAGCAUCAAUUUGUGAGCCCCAAGGGCGAAGAAGCUUUCCUGAAGCAACAACAGGAACAGGAAGCAAAAAGGAUUUGAAAUGAAAUAGCAAGGGUUGUGGAGGCUUGGAAGUCUAGGAUCAAUGUGCCAGCAACUGGCAUCUGGUGAGGCCCUUCUUGUUGCAUCCUCACAUGACAGAAGAAAGAAGGGCAAACGAGAUGAACUCUGUGUCUUCAUAUGGCAGGAGAGCAGAAGACAACAA